rnacentral:rRNA from 1 species
AGAGUUUGAUCCUGGCUCAGAGCGAACGCUGGCGGCGUGCUUAACACAUGCAAGUCGAGUGCGCGUUCCGUAGCAAUACGGGAUGGCGCACGGCGCACGGGUGCGUAACACGUGGGUAAUCUGCCCUCCGAUGGGGAAUAACCCCGCGAAAGCGGGGCUAAUUCCGCAUAACAUUCCGGGAACUCCGGUUUCUGGAUUCAAAGGCGUAAGUCGUCGGAGGAGGAGCCCGCGCACGAUUAGCUAGUUGGUAGGGUAAUGGCCUACCAAGGCUUUGAUCGUUAGCUGGUCUGAGAGGAUGGCCAGCCACACUGGAACUGAGACACGGUCCAGACUCCUACGGGAGGCAGCAGUGGGGAAUCUUGCACAAUGGGCGAAAGCCUGAUGCAGCGACGCCGCGUGGGGGAUGAAGCAUUUCGGUGUGUAAACCCCUUUCGAUCCGGACGAAUACCUCGCAAGAGGGGUGACGGUACGGAUAUAAGAAGCCCCGGCUAACUACGUGCCAGCAGCCGCGGUAAGACGUAGGGGGCCAGCGUUGUUCGGAAUUACUGGGUGUAAAGGGUUCGUAGGCGGUGUGGCAAGUUGGGAGUGAAAUCUCUGGGCUCAACCCAGAGGCUGCUUCCAAAACUGCUGUGCUUGAGUGUGAGAGAGGCUCGUGGAAUUGCAGGUGUAGCGGUGAAAUGCGUAGAUAUCUGCAGGAACACCCGUGGCGAAAGCGGCGAGCUGGAUCACUACUGACGCUGAGGAACGAAAGCUAGGGGAGCAAACAGGAUUAGAUACCCUGGUAGUCCUAGCCCUAAACGAUCAGGACUUGGGGUGCCACCCGUUCGGGUGUCGUCCCGGAGCUAACGCGUUAAGUCCUGCACCUGGGGAGUACGGUCGCAAGACUGAAACUCAAAGGAAUUGACGG